GACCCAGUGGUGAGAGGGAUCGAUCGCGUCCGCAAUUUGUUAAUCGACCAAGUCGUCGACACGCGACACGUCCCUGGUUCGAAUCCAGGCUGGGUCG